UACGAAGGGGACUAGCGUUGUUCGGAUUUACUGGGCGUAAAGCGUGCGCAGGCGGUUUUGUAAGCCAGAUGUGAAAUCCCCGGGCUUAACCUGGGAAUGGCAUUUGGGACUGCAAGGCUCGAGUGCGGCAGAGGCGAGUGGAACUCCUGGUGUAGCGGUGGAAUGCGCAGAUAUCAGGAAGAACACCAACGGCGAAGGCAGCUCGCUGGGACGGUACUGACGCUGAGACGCGAAAGCGUGGGGAGCGAACAGG
rnacentral:rRNA from 1 species